rnacentral:tRNA from 1 species
GCUGCUGUGGUGGAAUUGGCAGACACGCAGGAUUCAAAAUCCUGUGGUUUAUUCCGUAUCGGUUCAAGUCCGAUCAGCAGCACCA